rnacentral:ncRNA from 1 species
GAAAAGAAUUUUCACUUAAAAAUUUAUUAUAUAUUUAUUUUAUAUGUAAAUUUUUUAGUUAGUUUAUAAAAAAAUAUAUUUUAAUAAUAUAUAAUAUAAUAUUAUAUUCACAGUAUUUAAUUUUAAAUAUUUAAGAAAUUAAGAUUUAGUAAUAUAUAAAUUAUUAACUAAAUUUGUGCCAGCAGUUGCGGUUAUACAAUAAAUAAAUUAAAUAUUUUUAGUAGUUAAUUAAUAAAAUAAAUAAAAUUAUUAUAAAUAUGUAAUUAUUAAGUGAAAUUUUAAUUAUGUAAAAUAUAAUUUAUAAUUAAUUAUGAAUUAAUAAAUUUUAUAAUAAACUAGGAUUAGAUACCCUAUUAUUUAAAAAUUAAAAAUUUUAAAACUAAAAUAGUAAAUUUAUUUUUAAACUUAAAAAAAUUGGCGGUAUUUUAGUUUAUUUAGAGGAAUCUGUUUAUUGAUUGAUAUUCCACGAAUAAAUUUACUUAAUUUAAAGUUUAUAUAUCGUCGUUAAAAAAAUAUUUUAUAAAAAUAAAAAUAUUUAAAAAUUUAUAUAAAAAAUUAAAUCAGAUCAAGAUGUAAUUUAUAAUUAAGAAUAUAAUGGGUUACAAUAAAUAUAUUUAUUAUGGCUUAUAAUUUGUAAAAAUUAUAUAAAAGUGGAUUUAAAUGUAAUUUUAUUUAAUUUAAUAAAAUGAUUUAAAAUUAAAAUAUGUACAUAUUGCCCGUCGCUCUCAUUUAAAAAUUGAGAUAAGUCGUAACAAAGUAGAGGUACUGGAAAGUGUUUCUAGAAAGAA